UAUAAGAUAGGAGGACAUCCAUGGCAGCUUUCUUCUUCAAGAAGACACCACCCAAAAACCUAGCUGAACCCUAGCACCCUUAGAGACCCCAACCGCCCUCAGCCUGCCAUAACCACCCAAACCGACGAACCAGCCCCGCCAGCCACGCUGCCAGUCCGCCGGAAAACACAGUUCCCAUCCAUCGAGCAACCCAUCUUCUUCCUCAGCUGAACGACCAAAUGACCCCUGACCUCUCCAACACCACCAACAUCUCCGCCGCCAGACCACCCUAGCUACUGGACCUCCAUCUUCAGCAACCUAAUCUCCACAACCACAAAACCCUCGCCCGCCACCGACCUCACCAGACCCGCCACCCACCAGCAACAACGUCAACCAUCCCUACAGCGACCAAUGACUGCACCACCCCAACUCCCUCUCAAACCCGUUGUCGCACAGACCCCAUCUGUUUGCUUCUUCUUCACUUUGAUAACGCUAUAGAACAAAGAGAUUAGAGCAGCCGCUACACCAAAACGAGAGAAUUCCCCAUCGCUACUCCUUCUUCACACCUUCUCUGCCAAUGCUUCUCCUUCUCCGAUCAAAAUCCGGCAACCAACAACAACCACGACACACACACGAACCAAAACAAAAAAACAGAAGCUUCAGACAGAAAUUUUGGAGAUAAAAGACUAAAAAAAGUACGCAAAGAUUUAGUUCAUUUUUCUUUCUUUGAGUUCCAAUUUUGAUCUGAAAUAUGGAGUUUGGUUGGGGUCACGUUUGGAUUUCAAGUUAACCGCUGCCGAUUCGAGGUUCCGGCGAGGUCGCUUUUAGUAGUUUUCCAGUCGUUGUUCAAUUGUUUUGGCCUUCAUCUCGAUUCUUUGCUUGAUUCAUUAAUUCAAAGGUUCAUUCCUAUUUUAUCUCGAUGUUUUGGUUUUAUUUCAAGAUUGAGGGGCAUGGUUUGAAUUUGUAUGAAAAUUUUCUGAAUUGGCGAUCAUUUCCGUCCAAUAUAGUUGUUUAAUUAUUAAUGAUGAACUGAUAGAUAAACAUAGAUAUAAACUAAUAAUUUUAAAAGGACAAGAGUAUCAAAGGCCAUUGUUUGUUUCUAUUGUGGUGCCGUUUAACAUCGACAUGGAUCUGGCACGGUUUUGGCAUUUUUUUGUCACUUUGGUUUUGGUUUUUACCUAAUUUAAUUCUUUCCCUCAUUUAAUCUUCUUUAGAUUCAAUUUUGACCAUGGUAUGUCUUGAAGCUUGUAUAAUUGGAAAUAUUUGAAGGAAAAUAGAGAGAGGACAGUACUGUUCGAUUUAAAAAUUAUUCACUGUUUGUCAAAGUAGCUGAGUAGAUAGUAUAUUCUAUCCUAUGUGAAUAAAAUCUCAAAAUGCAUGGCCCUCGCUUAAUUAUUUUUUUUUAAUCGUUAGAAAUCGAGGUGUGCCAUUUAGUUGAAUUUCCAUGACCCUCGCAAACUUGAAGGUGCGUAGUUGCUUUAGGCGUGCUAUUUUAAAAUUACCUUCCUAAACUCGGGUGUGCAUUUAUGUGUUCCAAAUCCAAGUCUCAACAACGUUAGAUAAAAUAUGUCAUGGACCGCUGGUGCAUUUAUAUGACAUGGUUCAAGAUGUGUUUUAGAUGACGUUGAACCUUUCUAAAGAAUAUUUAAAUAAAAGCGGUUAUAAAGUUAAAAUUGAACCAUAGGUUAAAACAUGUACUAAAAAUUAGAUAAUAGGCCAAUUAUAACAGUUGAGCGACCGUGCUAGAACCACGGAAUUCCAGAAUGCCUAACAUCUUCUCCCGGGUUAACACAAUUCUUACCCGGAUCUCUGUGUUCACGGACUAUAAUAGAGAGUCAAUCUUUUCCUCAAUUCGGAAUUUGAACCGGUGACUUGGGACACCAUAAAAUUAUCCCAAGUGGCGACUCUGAAUUUAAUAAAUAAAUAAUCACGUUUCGAUUGUCACUUUAAGUUGGAAAAAACUCCCCUUUACAUCCCUUUACUUGGGUGUAGGAAAAAAGGAAGUAUGACAGCUCUGGCGACUCUGCUGGGGACAAGAACCCAGAACUUCUGGUUCAGGGUUCAGAAUUCGAGCUUAGAUGAAUUGUUAUAUUUGACUUUAUCUAUUAUCUAAUUUUAUUACAUGUUUGGGCCUAAUGUGCUAAAUGUUGCUUUUACUGCUUUGAUAUUAUCUGAACUGUAUAUAAAUUGUUACGAAACCAUUCUCUUCUCAUCUUCGGGGAUGUGCUCGUCGGCCGAGACUCCCUAUUCUAUUAGUGUCAUACCUUGAAAUAAGAAAGAGGCUCGGACAAGUUACUAAGCCGGAUGACCUUUUGGUUCCCGGUACGUAGCCCCCUCCUCGGCUCGAGCUGUCCGCUCGGGUACACAAGUCUGAAUAAAUGCCCAGGUUUUGAACCUAGAAUAACUCAGCUUCAUGCCGGAUCCCUAGUUGGAACGCUUGUUUGCAUUAUGUGCACUUGACUUAGGGGACUCAAUACAGGGGUUGGGUCCGUCUAGGACAGGUAUACCCCAAAAAAUAAAAGACCAUUUUGAUGCAUCUUAUAUGGUACAUGUUGCAUUUAUUCAAGGGUAAAAGGGUCAUUUAGCGGACCAAUGAUAGCUGAGGGUAAAUGAAGAAAUGAAAAAAAAACAAAAACAAUGAAAAGAGAAAGAAGAAAGAAAAAAAAAGAAAAAGAGAGGAUGAAGUGUGAAGAUAAAGCGAGUGAGGUCUAAUUAUGUUUUCUGUUACAUUUUGUUAAGAAAAAAAGAGCUUGAAAAAUUCAAAAGUUUUUUGUACUUUUUCAUCAUUUUUCAAAAAUCAAAAAUCAAAAAUAAGGGGAAAAAGAAAAUAAAAAAAAAGAGUUUACAUGUUUCAUCAUUUUUCAAAAAAAAAAGAGAAAGAAAAGACCAAAAAAACAUAUUUUCUCUAAAUUAGUUGUUAUUUUUAUUUCUCGCCCGUAUCCAAUCUUUCCGAACUACGCAUAUCUGAUUCUCGUCUUUCGGGGCGUGAUACGUAGGCAACUUACAUAGGGUCCGAUCCUCCUAGUAAAUCUUAGGUUCUUGGCUUUGCGGGGUCUUAGCCAAAUUUUGCACUUCUAACCACCUGUUGGCCAAAUAAUUCAUUUUGCAAAAAUAGCCUCAAUCAUGUCUUGCAUGUGUCUAGUAGGAAAUGUUAUUGUCUCACAUAGUGUUGGUUUAAGUUUUCUCAUACAGGUGUGGAUUUACUUACCGGAG
rnacentral:lncRNA from 1 species